ACGGAAGGCAGCAGUGGGGAAUAUUGCACAAUGGGGGAAACCCUGAUGCAGCGAUGCCGCGUGGAGGAAGAAGGUUUUCGGAUUGUAAACUCCUGUCUUAAGGGACGAUAAUGACGGUACCUUAGGAGGAAGCUCCGGCUAACUACGUGCCAGCAGCCGCGGUAGUACGUAGGGAGCGAGCGUUGUCCGGAAUUACUGGGUGUAAAGGGAGCGUAGGCGGGAUGGUAAGUCAGAUGUGAAAUCUAUGGGCUCAACCCAUAGACUGCAUUUGAAACUGCUGUUCUUGAGUGAAGUAGAGGUAAGCGGAAUUCCUAGUGUAGCGGUGAAAUGCGUAGAUAUUAGGAGGAACAUCGGUGGCGAAGGCGGCUUACUGGGCUUUUACUGACGCUGAGGCUCGAAAGCGUGGGGAGCAAACAGGAUUAGAUACCCUGGUA
rnacentral:rRNA from 1 species